rnacentral:misc_RNA from 1 species
GAUGAAGAACGUAGCGAAAUGCGAUAAGUAAUGUGAAUUGCAGAAUUCAGUGAAUCAUCGAAUCUUUGAACGCACAUUGCGCCCGCUAGUAUUCUGGCGGGCAUGCCUGUCCGAGCGUCAUUUCAACCCUCAAGCCCCCGGGCUUGGUGUUGGGGAUCGGCGAGCCUCCGCGCCCGCCGUCCCCUAAAUCUAGUGGCGGUCUCGCUGUAGCUUCCUCUGCGUAGUAGCACACCUCGCACUGGGAAACAGCGCGGCCACGCCGUUAAACCCCCAACUUCUGAAUGUUGACCUCGAAUCAGGUAGGAAUACCCGCUGAACUUAAGCAUAUCAAUAAGCGGAGGA